AGCAAACGCUGGCGGCGUGCUUAACACAUGCAAGUCGAACGGUAAGGCCCUUCGGGGUACACGAGUGGCGAACGGGUGAGUAACACGUGGGUGAUCUGCCCUGCACUUCGGGAUAAGCCUGGGAAACUGGGUCUAAUACCGGAGAGGACUCCGGACUGCAGGCAUCUGCGGGAUUGGAAAGUUUUUCGGUCAGGGAUGGGCCCGCGGCCUAUCAGCUUGUUGGUGAGGUAGUGGCUCACCAAGGCGACGACGGGUAGCCGGCCUGAGAGGGCGACCGGCCACACUGGGACUGAGACACGGCCCAGACUCCUACGGGAGGCAGCAGUGGGGAAUAUUGCGCAAUGGGCGAAAGCCUGACGCAGCAACGCCGCGUGAGGGAUGACGGCCUUCGGGUUGUAAACCUCUUUCAGCAGGGAAGAAGCGAAAGUGACGGUACCUGCAGAAGAAGCACCGGCUAACUACGUGCCAGCAGCCGCAGUAA
rnacentral:rRNA from 1 species